GAUGAACGCUGGCGGCGUGCUUAACACAUGCAAGUCGAACGAUGAAGCCCAGCUUGCUGGGUGUAUUAGUGGCGAACGGGUGAGUAACACGUGAGUACCCUGCCCUUAACUCUGGGAUAAGCCUGGGAAACUGGGUCUAAUACCGUAUAGGAGCGUCCACCGCAUGGUGGGUGUUGGAAAGAUUUAUCGGUUUUGGAUGGACUCGCGGCCUAUCAGCUUUUUGGUGAGGUAAUGGUUCACCAAGGCGACGACGGGUAGCCGUCCUGAGAGGGUGACAGGCCACACUGGGACUGAGACACGGCCCAGGCUCCUAAGGGAGGCAGCAGUGGGGAAUAUUGCACGACGGGCGCAAGCCUGAUGCAGCGACGCCGCGUGGGAGAUGACGGCCUUCGGGUUGUAAACCUCUUUCGGUAGGGAAGAAGCGAAAGUGAGGGUACCUGAAGAAGAAGCACCGGCGAACUACGU
rnacentral:rRNA from 1 species